AUUGAACGCUGGCGGCAUGCCUUACACAUGCAAGUCGAACGGCAGCACGGGAGCAAUCCUGGUGGCGAGUGGCGAACGGGUGAGUAAUAUAUCGGAACGUGCCCAGUCGUGGGGAUAACGUAGCGAAAGCUACGCUAAUACCGCAUACGAUCUAUGGAUGAAAGCGGGGGAUCGCAAGACCUCGCGCGAUUGGAGCGGCCGAUAUCAGAUUAGGUAGUUGGUGAGGUAAAGGCUCACCAAGCCGACGAUCUGUAGCUGGUCUGAGAGGACGACCAGCCACACUGGGACUGAGACACGGCCCAGACUCCUACGGGAGGCAGCAGUGGGGAAUUUUGGACAAUGGGCGCAAGCCUGAUCCAGCAAUGCCGCGUGAGUGAUGAAGGCC
rnacentral:rRNA from 1 species